rfam:TPA: Bos taurus chromosome 2, whole genome shotgun sequence.
UCCCUGGUGGCUCAGAGGUUAAAGCAUCUGCCUGCAAUGUGGGAGAUCUGGGUUCGAUCCCUGGGUUGGGAA